rnacentral:tRNA from 1 species
GGCGGCGUAGCUCAGCCGGAUAGAGCCCCCGUUUUCGACAGUCUAGGUGGGUCGCACCCCUAGUAUGGGCGGGGAGGUCGCGGGUUCAAGUCCCGCCGCCGCCA